ACAGAGGUCCCAAGCGUUGUUCGGAUUCACUGGGCGUAAAGGGUGCGUAGGCGGUCGGGUAAGUCUGACGUGAAAUCCUGGAGCUUAACUCCGGAACUGCGUCGGAAACUAUUCGGCUAGAGGGUUGGAAGGGGGACUGGAAUUCUCGGUGUAGCGGUGAAAUGCGUAGAUAUCAAGAGGAACACCCGUGGCGAAGGCGAGUUACUGGACAGUAACUGACGCUGAGGCGCGAAAGCUAGGGGAGCAAACAG
rnacentral:rRNA from 1 species